AUUGAACGCUGGCGGCAUGCCUUACACAUGCAAGUCGAACGGCAGCACGGGUGCUUGCACCUGGUGGCGAGUGGCGAACGGGUGAGUAAUACAUCGGAACAUGUCCUGUAGCGGGGGAUAGCCCGGCGAAAGCCGGAUUAAUACCGCAUACGAUCUACGGAUGAAAGCGGGGGACCUUCGGGCCUCGCGCUAUAGGGUUGGCCGAUGGCUGAUUAGCUAGUUGGUGGGGUAAAGGCCUAUCAAGGCGACGAUCAGUAGCUGGUCUGAGAGGACGACCAGCCACACUAGGACUGAGACACGGCCCAGACGACUGCGGGAGGCAGCAGUGGGGAAUUUUGGACAAUGGGCGAAAGCCUGAUCCAGCAAUGCCGCGUGUGUGAAGGAGGCCUUCGGGUUGUAAAGCACUUUUGUCCGGAAAGAAAUCCUUGGCCCUAAUACGGUCGGGGGAUGACGGUACCGGAAGAAUAAGCACCGGCUAACUACGUG
rnacentral:rRNA from 1 species